rnacentral:lncRNA from 1 species
AAAUACAUACCAAAGCAGGAAGAACGACAAAGAGAAAAAACAAUGUCUUGAGGUGUUACGUAACAACAACAACGAUGAUCAAGGAAAAACCACACGGUGUGGGAAGCAUACCGAUAAAGAAAAGAAAAGAACAGCAGAUUCAGGCAACGACACCGCAAAAAAAUAACAGAGAAUUGAGUUGUGAGGUGUAAACAGAAACAACAUGCAAAAAACCACACUAAUGGAGAAGGUAAGAGAAGAAAAGUAGACAACAAUCACUGAGAAAAUAACAGAUAAACGCAGACAAACCACGAGGUGUGGGAAGGACACAAUGAAGAAGAAAAUAGAAGAAACCUAGAUUCGCAUUCACAGAAAGAAAUCAUCUGACAUGUGAGAUUUAAAGAAUUCAAGAGUGAUGUGUGGAGCCAUGGCAAAUGUGUGAUUUUGCGGCAAAUGGAAAGAGGAAGCAGUAAGAUCGUAAGAUGAUUUCUAAUUGUUAAGAUCGUAAGAUCGUAAGCAGGGGAAAAAGUGUCACGUGAGUUUCUAAUUGUUAUAUUUAGCAAGACAUGUGAGCCGUAGGAUUUGUUUAAUUUAGCGGUUGAGAUUUGGUGUAAGUCUUGGACUUACACCUGGUGUCAACGGAUCUUGUC